GAUGAACGCUGGCGGCGUGCCUAAUACAUGCAAGUCGAGCGAACAGAUGAGGAGCUUGCUCCUCUGACGUUAGCGGCGGACGUGUGAGUAACACGUGGAUAACCUACCUAUCAGACUGGGAUAACUUCGGGAAACCGGAGCUAAUACCGGAUAAUAUAUUGAACCGCAUGGUUCAAUAGUGAAAGACGGUUUUGCUGUCACUUAUAGCUGGAUCCGCGCCGCAUUAGCUAGUUGGUAAGGUAACGGCUUACCAAGGCAACGAUGCGUAGCCGACCUGAGAGGGUGAUCGGCCACACGGGAACUGAGACACGGUCCAGAGUCCUACGGGAGGCAGCAGUAGGGAAUCUGACGCAAUGGGCGAAAGCAUGACGGAGCAACGCCGCGUGAGUGAUGAAGGUCUUCGGAUCGUAAAACUCUGUUAUUAGGGAAGAACAAAUGUGUAAGUAACUAUGCACGUCUUGACGGUAACUAAUCAGAAAGCCACGGCUAACUACGUG
rnacentral:rRNA from 1 species